CAAAUGUAAUGACUGCAACAGUGAAUACACUUGAACAUCUACAUUUAUGGUAAGUGUACAAAACUGUACUGUGUGCUUCUAGGUAUUAUUCCAGUGCACCCACUGUAGGGAAUCUGAGGCUGUGCUUCUAGAUAUUAUCCCAGUGCACCCACUGUAGGGAGUAUGAGGGUGUGCUUCUAGGUAUUAACCCAGUGCACCCACUGUAAGGAAUCUGAGGGUGUGCUUCUAGGUAUUACCCAGUGCACACACUAUAGGGAUCGCUGGGUGUGCUUCUAGGUAUUAUCCCAGUGCACCCACUGUAGGGAAUCUGAGGGUGUGCUUCUAGGUAUUAGUCCAGUGCACCCACUGUAGGGAAUCUGAGGGUGUGCUUCUAGGUAUUAGUCCAGUGCACCCACUGUAGGGAAUCUGAGGGUGUGCUUCUAGGUAUUAGUCCAGUGCACCCACUGUAGGGAAUCUGAGGGUGUGCUUCUAGGUAUUAGUCCAGUGCACCCACUGUAGGGAAUCUGAGGGUGUGCUUCUAGGUAUUAGUCCAGUGCACCCACUGUAGGGAAUCUGAGGGUGUGCUUCUAGGUAUUAGUCCAGUGCACCCACUGUAGGGAAUCUGAGGGUGUGCUUCUAGGUAUUAUCCCAGUGCUAACAUGGCUUUCUGCAGCAGUGAUUAAGGUGAACAUGUUACAGUUAUACAGCUAGACACCAUGACAGUAGAUGUCCAAAUUGGAUGCACAUGACUCAGUUCUGUGAAUAGACAUGUGCAUUCAUAGAUGAAGAAAAAGAAUGUUUUGUAGAAACCUCUCUCUACAAAUAUAAAACUUUUGAUUGCACAGAAUUCACAGACUCAACUAACUGGGAGUUGACUAGUUAGCAUGUUUCUGUUCCAAUCAUUGCUACAGGAUAAGCUUUCAGCCACCGUACUCCCUGGUUCUGUGCUUGUGUCGUUUUGUUGGUAUUUAAUCGUAGGAUUAUACAAAUUAUAAGGCAAUUGAGCCAGGAGACCAUUUCUGCCUUUCUAAUACCCACCCUUAGAUGUUGUCUCCCUUUUCAAGAAGGAGCAGGUCGCGCAUACCAGCUGUGAAUUUGUGAAUAUCCAUCCUGUGGUUCGGCUCCUUUUAAAAGGCAAACAGUGUAAAACACUGCUUAAAUUGGAGAGGGAGUUUGUUCCAGAGAAAGGGUAGGUACUGCAUGACAAAUGUAUUCCUCCUGUUUGUCAUAUUUAUUUGUUGAAAUAGAUACUAAUCACAUUUAGUAUUACAGGGUUUGCAUUGUGUUUAUUGGGUAUGUGUCGUUUACCUUUAAAUUUUAGAAGAUUAUUGUUGUCACUGAUAGCAAAAAAAUAUAAACUGUGUCCUUUACUGGUUUUUAUUUAUUUUUUUGAUUUGUUUUACAUUUUGGUUCUUUUACACACUUAAAUGUUUUAUUCUUAGGCUCCUGCAGCAUUUGUUAGAAUGGCAUUUUAGUUUCUUCUGGGUGAAAUGAUGUAUGUAGUGCACUCUUAUUAAAGCCAGGCAGCCUCCCAUGUCCAUACAUUUUGGUUCCUUCUGGGUGAAAUGAUAUAUGUAGUGUACUCUUAUUAAAGCCAGGCAGCUUCCCUGCAGCAUUUGUUAGAAUGGCAUUUUGGUUCCUUCUGUGUGAAAUGAUAUAUGUAGUGCACUCUUAUUAAAGCCAUGUCCAUGAUAUACAAGAUGCAUCUGCAUGUCUCUUAACACUUGAAGCUGCUGAAACAAUCUGGCUGGAACACUGAUGUCCACCUUAAGCUAUUUCUCAAUCAUAUUGCAGUUUCCUACAGUAGUAAUUUUGCCAUUCAUACAUGUAUGUAUUCGGGUCUAUAUUAUAACAUCGAAGAUGUAAAACUUCGAAUGUUAUAAUAUCAAACCCACUACAUCGAAGGAUGAAAAUAGCAAAGCCCCGGAACAUCAAAUUCUUACCUAGGGUAAGAUUUCAGUGGGCCGUUCUGUGGCUUCAGUGUUUCCUCCACUGUAGUGCGAUAGUGUUAGGUUUAGGGUUAGGGUGCAGGUUAAGGUAAGUGGAUAGUUAGGAAUGUAUGUAUGGUUUAGUGUAGGGUUGGGUUUUGUUAACUGUAUGUGUGUGUAUUAAUUAGUUUGUUUGUGUAUAGUUUCGUAGGGUAUGUGUGCGAUAGUUACGGACCUUAGGGUUAAGGUUAGUGGAUAAUAGGAAUGUAUGUACUGUUUAGUAUAGGAUUUUGUUAAGUGUAUGUGUGUGGUUUAUUUAUUUUGGUGUGCUUGUGUUGUGUGUGUUUCUCGGAACAGUGAAUUUUUUCCCUGGGAAAAAAUUUGCUGUUCUGAGUGUUCGAUGUUAUCAUAUUUUGAAAUUCCAAGUUCGAACUUAUGGUGUUCGAUAUUUAUGAUAUAGACCCACUUAUUCUCACAGUACUGUAAUGUACUGAUUUAUGUUCCCUAGUUUUCACUGUCAUAGAUAGAAAUUGGGCUUUUCUAUUGGUGGGAUUUGCAUAUUAAAGCUAAGUGUUUGUGGACCUCAGUUUAAUGUUCUUGUACUCUUGCCCAUCUCCUACGUCGUUAUAGUUUCUCUUAGCAACAUUUCUUUUAUCCUGAUCUGUUCUCAGCCUGCACCGAGUGUGGGUGUGAUUAUACGGCAGAUAGUCCAAUAACUCCAUGAAAAGUGUAGCCUCUGCUUGAAAGGCUUUUAGACAUAGUAAACUGUAGAUAGAUAGCUGCUGCAUUACUCUAGGUAUCAUGAAGUGUGAAGUCUUGGCUCUACAGCAUUGCAGUUGAUGCUUUUUUCGGUCAUAACCAGCCAGCACCUUGUAUUGCAGUGUGCCAGGUUUUGAGCAGUUAAUAGUAAAAUACUUGCACAAUAUUAAUUUUUUUGUAUUGUCUAAAGUGGCUUUAUACAAAUGUUUAGACUGUGUACUGUAUAAUUUUGUCUACAUUGUAGUAACUGUAAAUCUGAAAUGGAACAAUUGUAAUUAUUUUAUUGUACAUAAUGAUACAAAAAAAAUCUCAGUAACAUAAUGCUGACCUUGCUGCAUAUAAACCACGUUAAAUUAACGCUGAAAUUAUUAACAUAAUUUUGUAUGCUUUAACAAAAAAAUAAAACAUUCAUUUAGUUGCA